rnacentral:rRNA from 1 species
GCUGGUCUGAGAGGAUGAUCAGCCACACUGGGACUGAGACACGGCCCAGACUCCUACGGAGGCAGCAGUGGGGAAUAUUGGACGAAUGGGCGAAAGCCUGGAUCCCAGCCAUGCCGCGUGUGUGAAGAAGGCUCUACGGGUUGUAAAGGCAACUUUCAGUUAGGGAGGAAUGGUUAUUGAUUAAUAACUCAAUAAUUUUGACAUUACUUACAGAAAGAAGCACCGGCAAACUCCGUGCCAGCAGCCGCGGUAA